rnacentral:rRNA from 1 species
ACGAACGCUGGCGGCGUGCCUAAUACAUGCAAGUAGAACGCUGAAGAGAGGAGCUUGCUCUUCUUGGAUGAGUUGCGAACGGGUGAGUAACGCGUAGGUAACCUGCCUUGUAGCGGGGGAUAACUAUUGGAAACGAUAGCUAAUACCGCAUAACAAUGGAUGACACAUGUCAUUUAUUUGAAAGGGGCAAUUGUUCCACUACAAGAUGGACCUGCGUUGUAUUAGCUAGUAGGUGAGGUAAUGGCUCACCUAGGCGACGAUACAUAGCCGACCUGAGAGGGUGAUCGGCCACACUGGGACUGAGACACGGCCCAGACUCCUACGGGAGGCAGCAGUAGGGAAUCUUCGGCAAUGGGGGCAACCCUGACCGAGCAACGCCGCGUGAGUGAAGAAGGUUUUCGGAUCGUAAAGCUCUGUUGUAAGUCAAGAACGGGUGUGAGAGUGGAAAGUUCACACUGUGACGGUAGCUUACCAGAAAGGGACGGCUAACUACGUGCCAGCAGCCGCGGUAAUACGUAGGUCCCGAGCGUUGUCCGGAUUUAUUGGGCGUAAAGCGAGCGCAGGCGGUUUGAUAAGUCUGAAGUUAAAGGCUGUGGCUCAACCAUAGUUCGCUUUGGAAACUGUCAAACUUGAGUGCAGAAGGGGAGAGUGGAAUUCCAUGUGUAGCGGUGAAAUGCGUAGAUAUAUGGAGGAACACCGGUGGCGAAAGCGGCUCUCUGGUCUGUAACUGACGCUGAGGCUCGAAAGCGUGGGGAGCGAACAGGAUUAGAUACCCUGGUAGUCCACGCCGUAAACGAUGAGUGCUAGGUGUUGGAUCCUUUCCGGGAUUCAGUGCCGCAGCUAACGCAUUAAGCACUCCGCCUGGGGAGUACGACCGCAAGGGUGAAACUCAAAGGAAUUGACGGGGGCCCGCACAAGCGGUGGAGCAUGUGGUUUAAUUCGAAGCAACGCGAAGAACCUUACCAGGUCUUGACAUCCCGAUGCUAUUUCUAGAGAUAGAAAGUUACUUCGGUACAUCGGUGACAGGUGGUGCAUGGUUGUCGUCAGCUCGUGUCGUGAGAUGUUGGGUUAAGUCCCGCAACGAGCGCAACCCUUAUCUUUAGUAGCCAGCGGUCCGGCCGGGCACUCUAGAGAGACUGCCAGGGAUAACCUGGAGGAAGGCGGGGAUGACGUCAAAUCAUCAUGCCCCUUAUGACCUGGGCUACACACGUGCUACAAUGGUUGGUACAACGAGUUGCGAGUCGGUGACGGCGAGCUAAUCUCUUAAAGCCAAUCUCAGUUCGGAUUGUAGGCUGCAACUCGCCUACAUGAAGUCGGAAUCGCUAGUAAUCGCGGAUCAGCACGCCGCGGUGAAUACGUUCCCGGGCCUUGUACACACCGCCCGUCACACCACGAGAGUUUGUAACACCCGAAGUCGGUGAGGUAACCUUUUGGAGCCAGCCGCCUAAGGUGGGACAGAUGAUUGGGGUG